GUGCCAGCCGCAGCGGUAAUACGUAGGGUCCGAGCGUUGUCCGGAAUUAUUGGGCGUAAAGGGCUCGUAGGCGGUCUGUCGCGUCGGGAGUGAAAACUCAGGGCUCAACCCUGAGCGUGCUUCCGAUACGGGCAGACUAGAGGGAUGCAGGGGAGAACGGAAUUCCUGGUGUAGCGGUGGAAUGCGCAGAUAUCAGGAGGAACACCGGUGGCGAAGGCGGUUCUCUGGGCAUUACCUGACGCUGAGGAGCGAAAGCAUGGGAGCGAACAGGAUUAGAUACCCUGGUAGUCCAUGCCGUAAACGUUGGGCGCUAGGUGUGGGGACCUUCCACGGUUUCCGUGCCGCAGCUAACGCAUUAAGCGCCCGCCUGGGAGUACGGCCGCAAGGCUAAAACUCAAAGG
rnacentral:rRNA from 1 species